AUAGCGUAUAUUAAAGUUGUUGCAGUUAAAAAGCUCGUAGUUGAACCUUGGGCCUGGCCGGCCGGUCUGCCUCACCGCAUGCACUGGUUUGGUUGGGCCUUUCCUUCUGGGGAGCCGCAUGUCCGUUACUGGAUGUGUUGGGGAACCAGGACUUUUACUUUGAAAAAAUUAGAGUGUUUAAAGCAGGCAUUGGCUCGAAUACAUUAGCAUGGAAUAAUAGAAUAGGACGCGUGGUUCUAUUUUGUUGGUUUCUAGGACCACCGUAAUGAUUAAUAGGGAUAGUCGGGGGCAUCAGUAUUCAAUCGUCAGAGGUGAAAUUCUUGGAUCGAUUGAAGACUAACUACUG
rnacentral:rRNA from 1 species